AACUCUUUUUUAAGUACGGGUAUAAAAAAAGCAAAAUAGCACAAGAAGAAAAUACCAGAAGACCGCCAAGAAGUCGCCAAGAAAUGAAAUGCAAUCCAAUAAACCAAAAAAAUAAAAUAAAAGCCUCCACUGGAACAAGCAAAAAGCAGUUUAAUUUUCAGAGGUUUUCCUCCGCUCAUCAGAUCAGAGCAGAGCAGAGCGGGGAGUGUUCUGAAUAUAUGUAUUAAAGGUAUUAUAGGUAGAUAAUUGUACACUCUCUAUGAGCUGUUUUAGAGCUUUUCUGUGCUGCUUUCUGAGGCAUAUGCGUGAAAUACAGUGAAUGGAUUACCUUCAGGCGUAUCUAUUAGAAGUUGCUGAGACUUCGAAGUCAGAAGUGUGGCGUUCUGCUGCAUUCAAUUUGAAAGAAAAUACAAAAAAUUCUACCAAAACAUAAACCGACAAAAAUCAAUAGAGUUCGCAUGUGUUUUACUUGCUUGGAAAAGUAUUUCAUCUAGUUAGCAUUUACUUUUCUGUUCGUAUCGUUUGAUUUGAGGCUGGGCAAUAUUUCAUUCUAGCACUGACUUUGGAGCUGUACGCUUGUUUUUAUAUUUUUGUAUUUUUAGUAUUAGCGUAAAACAAAAUUUCUAUCGUUUUACAAAUUUUAAGUAUCUAAAAGUAUCUAAUUGUUUCAACAAAAUUUCCAUCCACGUUCGGACGAAGUCACGCAACU